GUCUACUGCCAUGUUACUCUGAACAAGCUCGAUCCCGUUUGAUCUUGGAAGCUAAGCAGGUUUGGCCCUGGUUAGUACUUGGAUAGGAGAACACCUAGGAAGACCAAGUGUAUAGGUG
rnacentral:rRNA from 1 species